UACGUAGGGUGCGAGCGUUAAUCGGAAUUACUGGGCGUAAAGCGUGCGCAGGCGGUUUUGUAAGCCAGAUGUGAAAUCCCCGGGCUUAACCUGGGAAUGGCAUUUGGGACUGCAAGGCUGGAGUGUGGCAGAGGAGACUGGAAUUCCUGGUGUAGCAGUGAAAUGCGUAGAUAUCAGGAGGAAUACCGGUGGCGAAGGCGGCAUCCUGGACCGACAUUGACGCUGAGGAGCGAAAGCUAGGGGAGCAAACGGG
rnacentral:rRNA from 1 species